AUGAGAAAGAGAAGGGGGGACUUGUGGGAUCUCAGGGUGCUCAAAAUUCUCCAAGCCAGGCUUCAGCAAUACGUGAACCAUGAACUUCCAGAUGUUCAAGCUGAUUUUAGAAAAGGCAGAGGAACCAGAGAUCAAAUUGCCAACAUCCACUGGAUCAUCGAAAAAGCAAGAAAGUUCCAGAAAAAAAUCUAUUUCUGCUUUAUUGACUAUGCCAAAGCCUUUGACUGUGUGGAUCACAAUAAACUGUGGAAAAUUCUGAAAGAGAUGGGAAUACCAGACCACCUGACCUGCCUCUUGAGAAACCUGUAUGCAGGUCAGGAAGCAACAGCUAGAACUGGACAUGGAACAACAGACUGGUUCCAAAUAGGAAAAGGAGUAUGUCAAGGCUGUAUAUUGUCACGCUGCUUCUUUAACUUAUAUGCAGAGCACAUCCUGAGAAAUGCUGGGCUGGAAGAAGCACAAGCUGGAAUCAAGAUUGCCGGGAGAAAUAUCAAUAACCUCAGACGUGCAGAUGACACCACCCUUAUGGCAGAAAGUGAAGAGGAGCUAAAAAGCCUCUUGAUGAAAGUGAAAGAGGAGAGUGAAAAAGUUGGCUUAAAGCUCAACAUUCAGAAAACAAAGAUCAUGGCAUCUGGUCCCAUCACUUCAUGGGAAAUAGAUGGGGAAACAGUAGAAACAGUGUCAGACUUUGUAUUUUGGGGCUCCAAAAUCACUGCAGAUGGUGAUUGCAGCCAUGAAGUUAAAAGACACUUACUCCUUGGAAGGAAAGUUAUGACCAACCUAGAUAGCAUAUUCAAAAGCAGAGACAUUACUUUGCCAACAAAGGUCUGUCUAGUCAAGGCUAUUUUUCCAGUAGUCAUGUAUGGAUGUGAGAGUUGGACUGUGAAGAAAGCUGAGCAUCGAAGAAUUGAUGCUUUUGAACUGUGGUGUUGGAGAAGAUUCUUGAGAGUCCCUUGGACUGCAAGCAGAUCCAACCAGUCCAUUCUAAAGGAGAUCAGUCCUGGGUGUUCAUUGGAAAGACUGAUGCUAAAGCUGAAACUCCAGUACUUUGGCCACCUCAUGAGAAGAGUUGACUCAUUGGAUAAGACUCUGAUGCUGGGAGGGAUUGAGGACAGGAGAAGAAGGGGACGACAGAGGAUGAGAUGGCUUGAUGGCAUCACUGACUUGAUGGACGUGAGUUUGAGUGAACUGCAGGAGUUGGUGAUGGACAGGGAGGCUGGCGUGCUGCAAUUCAUGGGGUCGCAGAGAGUUGGACAUGACUGA
rnacentral:lncRNA from 1 species